GAGGGCCGGGGCCUAGGGAGGGGCGGUGUCGUAGGGCGGAGCCCGGAGCUCGGCCCCUGACGAGCCCGAACUCGUCAACUUCCUGUCGGUACUUGAAGAAGCGGAGCCAGGGCUGAGAUCCCGAAGGCGGGCGAGGUCUGGGAUGGGGCGGGGCCUAUGGGAGCGGGGCUGAAGCCCUGGGCCCGGCAGAGGAAGGUCGAGAUGGACCAUGUUGGGCCCCUUCUCUCCCCGCCCCCAGGCCGCAGUUCGGGGGCCACGCCCCGGCGUGCUCGGGUCACCGCGGGAAGCCCUUGAACCCCCUGGCGCCCGGCACCCACGUGCGGUAACCGCGGCUCCUCGAGAGCUCCAGGGAUGCGGAUCUACAGUAAGGGCUGUGGCCAGAUGAAUGAAUGCACAUUUUUUAGUGGGCAGAAAGAUGUUAGAAUUCAUGAAUUAGAAUAAGCACAAAGGAGGGCGAGAGGGGAGGCCGUGGAAGCCGCAUUCCUCCCCUUGCCUUGGGCGCCCACCCCCGAAGGGGCGCGUCCCCUCCCUGCUCCACUGCACGUGGGUGUUUAACCAGGGGAUAUCCAGUGCCUCAAGCACCACGACCCGGGAGAAAACUGAGUUGAGAAGGGUCCAUUCAAGAAUUGUGCCCACAAUAUACCAGGCACUUGUCCAGACCUGCAUCGUCCAAUGCCCACCUCGACCUCCCAAAGUGUUGGGAUUAGAGGCGUGAGCCACCGCGCCCUGCCUGCAUGUGGCUAUUGAGAUGUGCUGUAUGAUACACACCGGACUUUGAAGACUCAGUGUGAAAAAUAAAAAGAAUUUUAAGAGGGGUGGGGGUCGAGGGGAGGCAGAGCAGUAGGACAAAUAGCUAAUGCACGCAGGGCUUAAAACCUAGACAACAGGUUGAUGGGUGCAGCAAACCACCAUGACACAUGUUUAUCUAUAUAGCACCUACAUGUUCUGCACUUGUAUCCUGGAACUUAAAAUUAGAAAAAAAAAAUAAUAAAAGCCAACAUGGCAUUCAUUACUGCCAAAAAAAUUAAAACACAUUGUUAAUUUUG
rnacentral:lncRNA from 10 species